ensembl:lncRNA
ACCUCUCGCACGAGAGAACUCACAGCUUGCCCGUAAGUGCUGCAGAAGGCUGUCUGUGAUCCUUCCUGUUUUUGGCGAGUGGCAGCACACAGCAAAGUAUUUUUUAAAUUUGAUCUAUUAUUAUUCUUUUUUUAACCUUUUAUUUAACUAGGCAAGUCAGUUAAAGAACAAAUUCUUAUUUCCAAUGACGGCCUAGGAACAGUGGGUUAACUGCCUGUUCAGGGGCAGAACGACAGAUUUGUACCUUUUCAGCUCGGGGGUUUGAACUUGCAACCUUCCGAUUUACUAGUCCAACGCUCUAACCACUAGGCUACCCUUGCUGCGAGUAAUAAGCUAGGAAUCUCAACAGUUUGUGCCAUCUUCACAGAAGUGUGCCAGGCUAUCUGGCAUGUCCUGAAGGAGGAUUUUGAGGACUUCUCGCCAGAGAGUUUGGGGAUCGUUUGAAUCAUCAGUUUUCGUGCAGGAGCUGUUGACUGAAAAAAGUAUUCCCCCUAUUCGCGUCCGAGCUCCGGCAAACUCAGGCAGCGAGUACUACAACUUCACAGGCUUUUUCUCAAUGGUCCUGAUGGUAGUCUGCUAUGUUCACCAUGAUCAACGUGUGAGCAUAUGGUCGCAAUCUUCUAACGAAGCAAGUUUGGCUCAUCCUGCCGCUACCAAGGCCAGAGUGCUUGCCGGUGACAUGAAACAACAAUACAAAUGUAACAGCACAACAGAACAGAUAAACCAUUUUCUUUGGUGCCUUCUCAUUUUAAACACCAGUGGUGCAACUAGUGCUUUAUAACUGAGCCAAAACAGUGGCAUGAGGGACUGAUCCAAAACAGUGGCAUGAGGGACUGAACCAAAACAGUGGCAUGAGGGACUGAUCCAAAACAGUGGCAUGAGGGACUGAACCAAAACAGUGGAAUGAGGGACUGAUCCAAAACAGUGGCAUGAGGGACUGAACCAAAACAGUGGAAUGAGGGACUGAUCCAAAACAGUGGCAUGAGGGACUGAUCCAAAACAGUGGAAUGAGGGACUGAUCCAAAACAGUGGAAUGAGAGACUGAACCAACACAGUGGAAUGAGAGACUGAACCAACACAGUGGCAUGAGGGACUGAACCAAAACAGUGGAGUGAGGGACUGAGCCAAAACAGUGGAAUGAGAGACUGAACCAACACAGUGGCGUGAGGGACUGAACCAAAACAGUGGAAUGAGAGACUGAACCAACACAGUGGCGUGAGGGACUGAUCCAAAAUGCCGUUUUGCCUGAGGCUGACAAUGUCACGCCCUGGUCUUAGUAUUCUGUGUUUUCUUUAUUAUUUUGGUCAGGCCAGGGUGUGACAUGGGUUAAUUAUGUGGUGUGUUUUGUCUUGGGUUUUUUGUAGGUAUUGGGAUUGUGGUAUAGUGGGGUUAUCUAGAAAAGGCUAUGGUUGCCUGAAGUGGUUCUCAAUCAGAGGCAGGUGUUUAUCGUUGUCUCUGAUUGGGAACCAUAUUUAGGCAGCCAUACUCUUUGAGUGUUUCGUGGGUGAUUGUUCCUGUCUCAGUGUUAGUUUGCACCAGAUAGGGCUGUUUAAGUUUUCACGCUUCUUGUUUUGUAUUGUUUGUGUUUAUUCUUUUAUUUAACAUGUAUCAAAAUAACCACGCUGCAUUUUGGUCCUCUCCUUCACCGGAAGAAAACCGUAACAGACAAACAUAUAAAGUAGGCAUUGCUGUUAUGAUUUCAGAUGUCCUUUGUUUUAAAUGUAUUAUUAUUAUUAUUAUUUUUUGCAUUUUCUGUUUUCUUCUGUUUUCCUUUUUUCGAAUGGUUGAGGGACAGAUAUUGGGGAAAUGUGGGGGGGGAUCUUGGAGGGUUCGGGUUUCACAAGAUUGUGAUCAUGAAAAAGGAAACUAUGACAUAUAUUUUAUAUCACUAUCAUGCACACGCACCCUCACACA